rnacentral:rRNA from 1 species
GCGCAGCAGGCGCGAAUACUUUACAAUGUGCGAAAGCACGAUAAGGGAACUCUGAGUGCCUCCUAAGGAGGCUGUUCAGGUGUCUAAAAAGCACCUGGAGUAAGGGCUGGGUAAGACCGGUGCCAGCCGCCGCGGUAACACCGGCAGCCCAGGUGGUAGCCACUUUUAUUGGGUCUAAAGCGUCCGUAGCCGGUUGAGUAAGUUCCUUGGGAAAUUUGGCUGCUCAACAGUCAAGCUUCCAGGGAAUACUGCUCGACUUGGGGACUGGGAGAGGUCAGAGGUACUCCAGGGGUAGGGUGAAAUCCAUUAAUCCCUGGGGGACCACCGGUAGCGAAGGCGUCUGACCAGACC